UUCUAGUAAGAUUUUUGAUGAGUUGGAAGUGUCUCCAGGAUUUGAUAAAAUCGUUGACGGGGGUAGAAACGAUCACCAGGAACCCCCUAAAAAGACAUCAGUUGGUACACAAACAGACCAUAGAGACUAUAACGAUUUAACAGAACAUUUGAAAUCCAAUUAUCAAACAAAAAUCGCUAAGAUUAACAAUGACAUCAGACAGUUUAGGAAGCUGUUUACAUCUAAGAUUUCAAAAGUGAAAAAUUCAACAAAAGAAGUUUCAAAGAAAAUGUGUGACAUUCAACUAAAAAUUCCUGCCUUAACACAAGAAAAUAAAUUUCUAUCAGAUGAAAAGGAUACGUUGCACGCAAAGAUUGUGGAAGAGACCGCAGUGGAACAAGAUAUAAAUGAGAAAUUCUUUAGCUUGCAUGCAUAUGUGCAAUAUCAGGGUCAGACAGCGCUAACAGAACCAGCGGAGAUGAUACACUAGUUUUGUUUGAGUUAUUGCUCUUAUGAUGAUCUAUCUGUAUCACAAUUCGUAGAAAAUAUCCAGUGGAAGAGGAUGCAUGAAAUCUUCAUUUAAAAAUAAGUUAGUUUUUACCGAUGUUAUAGGUCUCAUUUCAUGCCUUCGGAAACCUAACUAAUUGUUCCAAACCUAAUUCAUCGUCUUGAAAUUAGUACAGCUUAUGAAUAAAACAUAGACAAUGUAAUCAUCUUUCGGUAAACAAUUAUUCCUCUUUGAACAAAUAAAAUCAUUACAUGAUAAAACGAGGAACGUUUUUCAUGUUGAUCGACA